rnacentral:rRNA from 1 species
AUCUACGGCCAUACCACCCUGAACACACCCGAUCUCGUCUGAUCUCGGAAGCUAAGCAGGGUUGGGCCUGGUUAGUACUUGGAUGGGAGAAAAAUCUUACUAUCACUU